rnacentral:lncRNA from 1 species
GGGCUGUGUCGGCUCCGAGCGUCCACCCGAGGGUCCCCAAGGAGUCCCUGCGGAGUCCUGCUUCCACCUGCUCCGGGUUCUCGGGACUCUUUCGUGGGCAUCAGGAAAGCACGCACCGAGGUCUCAGCAGAGUUAGAAGAAAUGGCCCUGGUACCGUAUGAGGAGAGCAUGUCAAUAGGGCUCCAGAAACUCCAUAAGCCUCUUGCCACCUUCUCGUUUGCAAACCACACCAUCCAGAUCCGUCAGGACUGGGGGCGACUGGGAGUGGCUGCAGUGGUUUGGGAUGCAGCAGCAGCAGCAGCAGCAGCAGCAGCAGCAGCAGCAGCAGCAGCAGCAGCAGCAGCAGCAGCAGCAGCAGCAGCUAAGUUCCUGCCAUUGUUCUUUCCACGUAUCUGGAGAUGGGUGCCGUGGAGCUCAGGGGCUGCUCUGCCGUGGAGCUGGGAGCUGGCACAGGGCUGGUGGGCAUCGUGGCUGCGCUGCUGGGUGCUCAUGUGACUAUCACGGACCGAAAAGUAGCGUUAGAAUUUCUUAAGUCAAAUGUUGAGGCCAACUUACCUCCCCAUAUCCAACCUAAGGUGGUUGUUAAGGAGCUGACUUGGGGACAAAAUUUGGACAGUUUUUCACCUGGAGAAUUUGAUCUCAUACUUGGAGCUGAUAUCAUAUACUUAGAAGAUACCUUCACAGACCUUCUUCAAACACUGGGACAUCUCUGUAGCAACAACUCUGUGAUUCUUCUAGCUUGCCGAAUCCGCUAUGAACGGGAUAAUAACUUCUUAACAAUGCUGGAGAGGCAGUUCACUGUGAGUAAGGUUCACUACGAUCCUGAGAAGGAUGUACACAUUUACAAAGCACAGAAGAGAAAGCAGAGGGAGGACUUGUAGUGGGCAGUAUUUUCUAAGAAUCGAAUGCAUCAGUUAAGGUCUUACAGCUAGAACUCUUAGCGGUGUUAAUGACGUAGCAGACUGCAAGUCAUUCCUCUCAGAGCUGCUCAAGGAACAAAGCACGUGUGUACUUUGUAGACAAUGCCUUGCCUCAUUGCCGGAACUGUCAGUCAGAUUGACUGUAGAUGGACAUGUGAAGUUUGGCUGGUGUUCUUUGCUUUGCCCUGUGUGCUCACUUGGUAAGCAAUUUCCACUGAUAAAGAAUGAUAUGAAGGUGUCCCUAAACUGGUGAGUCAGUCAUAUAUUCUGGGAUGUAUUUUGUCUUAGUUUCCUUGUCUGUUGAGUGUAAACAGACUUAUUAUAUGUCUUCCCUGAAA